CUCACUGCCCAGUGCUGGCUGGAUGCCUGGGACAGCCAGCAGGACAGCCUCAGACCUCCAGCCUGCACCCCUACCCCCAUUCCUGCUUGUCGUUCCUCUGGAGAGCCGCCCAAGCGGCAAUGGUCACCAGUGGUCACCAGCUCUUGAUUUCUGGAGGCCGGCCACAGGCAUGCGGAGUGUUGGGCCCAGCCCGGUGGAGGUAGAAGCAAGAUUCGUGUCCCCAGGACCAGGGAGUGGGGAGCCAGAUGGGGAAAGAGGCAUGGCGUGAUCCAGGCUUGACAGUCACAGGACAAUGACACCCCUGGAGUCUGAACCCCCACAGUGGGGCUGUAGGGUCCAUGGAGGAGCAUCUCGGGCUUUUCAGAGGAGAAACAGCCUCUGAGGUGGCUGGGCCUUUUCCAAGGCUACCCGGGUAGGAAGACGCCAAGCAAUGACUGGAACUCACGCCUGCGUUGAUGGAGCGGUAAAGCUGAAGUUCUAGAUAAAGGCAUUAUUGACAGGUG